UACGGGGGGAGCAAGCGUUGUUCGGAUUUACUGGGCGUAAAGGGCGCGUAGGCGGUCAGCAAAGGUCAGUUGGGAAAUCUCCGGGCUUAACUCGGAAAGGUCAACUGAUACUGUGCGACUAGAGUGCAGAAGGGGCAACAGGAAUUCCUGGUGUAGCGGUGAAAUGCGCAGAUAUCAGGAGGAACGCCGGUGGCGAAGGCGGGUCGCUGGGCCGAUACUGACGCUGAGGAGCGAAAGCGUGGGGAGCGAACAGG
rnacentral:rRNA from 1 species